rnacentral:lncRNA from 1 species
AUAUCAAUUCAAUUUGAUUGCUGACCUUUAUUGAUAAAUGAUAAUGCAAAGUACACACAUCUCUUACAUAGUUGGCAACAAAGCACAUAAUAUAUUAAUGUGCAUGCAACAUUCAUAUAGAAACAAACAUGCCACAACAUGCAUGUUUUCUUAUUUAAUUACUGUUUCAACAUAACACAGGCCACGCUUGGACCAUUAUAUUCCACUUUAGCCAAUCUUCGGAACCUCAGCCACAGUAUCAACCCGAAGACGAACGCGAUUUGGGUCGAUCAUUUGGUCCACCAUGGUGCCAAUAGGGGUGACCACAACAUUGAGGUCUGGCCGGUCCGCCUUAAUCCUCUCUUUUGCCACCUUAAUUGUGCAGCCCACAAGUUCAGGCCACUCCGUCUUGGGAGCAUCGCAUGCCUUACUGUCAGCUGGAGAGCUCAUCUUCACAGCUGCUCAAAGCGACACCUUCAGUAACUGCAAAUUCGUUGAACACAAGAGGAGGCCCAAUAAACAUGACAAUUAUUAUAUCGUAGAAAGAAACUAAACCCAAAAAUACAGCUGGUUUUUGCAAAUGUGCUUACACCAAAAAUGAAACGCCAAACCAGAGAACAAGAUCCCUUUUAGAUAAUAUAAGAUACCAUAUUAAAGUAGCCGAGACCAAAAGAUCAAGAUGAAAUAGGAACUACUACGUACCAGUUACCACCAAGAUAUAAGCCCUACUACUGUAUUGUUUCUUUUGCGUUCAAUGGAUGCUGGCUGUGUGGCUAUCUUGGAUGUUAGUCUAUUUAUAGGAAACGUUGAUGAAGGAACAUGUACGUUCAAAGCCAUGUGUUCAGUGAAGACCAAAAAGGUUCAUGCACCUUGACGAGGCCUUUAUCCUAUUGGGUACUACCGUACUACCACUUGUUAUUGUCGACAGCUUGGAUCAGAAAAAAUUUCAAACCACGAGCACGUUGAUGCGUGGGAAAAUUAAUGUUCCUUGAUUAAUCCACUCUUUUCACAGCAUUACAGUCAGCUAAUUAAGAAAAGAUCAUGGUGGUAGUAAACAAAUAAGGGCGAAUUGAACGUAACUCGGUUGGCUAUAUGUUCCUUUCGAAUGAACGUGACUUGGUGCAACUCUGUGCAGGCAGGCACAAUGAAUCGAGCGGUGGCAUGGCUUCAGCGCUGUGGUGGCACCACCUCAUAUAAAUGAUUUUUUCUUUUUCCUCUUUAUUUUUAUGUAUACUUUAUUUUAUGGAGUGAAUUCUUAGAAGUAUCCUAAAUAAAUUUUUGACAAAAAAUUAUUUAAAUAAUUUUUGGGAAUGCUUGUGUUAAUUAUUUGGAAAACUAUUUCUUGGAAAAUUCUAAAAUAACUUUUGUGAAUUAGUUUUCUAAAUAUAUAUUUUUAUAAAAGUUUCUAGAAAAAGAAAAGGAGGGGAGCAGAUACUUACCAUAAACAUAAACAGAGGUCCCUAUCCUACUGUGCACUAGCUGGGUGUGUUUGAUUUGGGGAUCGAACAGGGUUGGAAUGGGUUCGACCCCAUCGACCCUUGUUUGAUUGGAAAUGCAUCUGAGUUGGGUCGGACCCUCCUAGAUGCGGGUCGAAUGCAUCCAUCCAAAACGAGCGGACGCACUCGACCCACAUAAACACCGUCCGUCUCCGUUCGUGCGUGGGGCAGCGGCAGCAAGCAGGGUAGAGGUGGGGACGGCCUCCAGUCGCGCGGCGGCACGCAGCCAGGAUGGCGACGCGAGGCAGAGGGCGGACGGGGUAGAUCCUGUGGAGCAGCGGUGGCACGAGGUAGGCAGCGGCAGGCUGGGCAGGGGUGGAUCCCGUGGGGCGGCGGCGGCGGGGCGAGCUUGGGAGGUAGCAGUGGCGGCGCUUGUUCAGCGCUCACGCGAGGUAGGCGAGCCCGGGAGGCAGCGGCAGACUUGGCAGGGGCGAGCGGCGGUAGUGGAUGACAUGUGGGACCCACGUAAAACAGUUACGAAUGGUGUUAAAAUGACAUCCAAUCGACCCCUCUCAACCCUUUGAACCAAACACGAGAUGGGUUGGACCCAUCCCUUUCAACCAUACAUGAGAUGGGUUGGACCCAACCUAAAAAAGUGGAAUAGAGCCAACCUAUUCCACUUGGUCCAACCCAUUUCAUGUGGUCCUAAAAUCAAACACAUGCUAGAAGUACUGUGAGUUGUACAUGCUGUUACCUAAUAACAGCUCAGCACCAUGACUUUAAAGAAGUUUCCAGAUAAAGAAAAGAAUGGGAAUGAAAAUUUACCGCAAACAGAAAGUGAGGUGCCUAGUAUCGCACUUCGCACAAAGGCUCCUGUGCUAGUACUCGGCACCUCAGGACUAAAUGGUUAGUUCAAAGAAGAUGUUAGAUUCAGACUAGGCUCACUAAAAUAAAACUGAUGUACAACUCAGAGAUACAGCCUGAUUGUAUGUAUAGUUAUUUCUUGUGUGUCUAUGUACCUAGGAGAAUAUAUUUCAUAAUGUCUUUCUAUUGAGUAUAUCAAUUAUGAAAAUUCUAAAGGAUUCUUGCUCACUACCCCUAAUUAAAUGUAUGAAAGAGACAAAUUGUUGCAUCGUGUUGACACCGUUUUUUGACAUACAUCAAAGAUGGUGUCAAAAGGAAGCAGAGAUGCCGAUGCAUAGUAGAAAGAUAACAGCUAAUGGAAUCGGCUGAUAGGGUUGCGGAGGGUUCAGUCGAUGAAGCUAUAAGAGAUCAGCCGAUGAUGGUGAAAGCCUUGCCGAUAGAGGAAGAUAGAGGCCUAGCCGAUGGGAAAUAACCGAUGGAGAUGAUGGACUCGGUUGGUACAAACGAAAACAGAUCUUGAUGGAUCAGGAGAUGUGGAAGGAUUGACCGUUAAAAGGAAAGAGAAUCUUGGUCGGUCAAAAGGUUGUAAGGUGGUAAAGAUAGGUUCCGAUUCCCGUACGAGUCGUGUUAUUUGAAUAGUUUGUUUCCUUAAAAAUAGUUUGUUUCGUUAGAGGUAGAUAUCAUAUUUUGUCGUAAUCGAUUAGGACUAGAAGUCUUGUGCUUAGGCUAUAAAUAGAGGCCCUGCGGGGUUUGUAAGAGAUACACAUCAUAAUCAAUACAAAUAUACAAUUUCUUGCAAUUUACUUUCAAGUCGGCGACUUCACCACUGUUUUCUUUUCUUCACGAGUUCUUCCAAGCUUGUUGGGCUGCAUCGCUUUGAUCUCCGGCUAGACUGUUAGUUCCGCAUCUAUUGAAUACUUUCUAGGCUUUAACUUCAAGCGCAUCGUGUCGUUUCAUCUAUAUUUAUUCACAAGUUAUCAAUAUUUGCUAGAUCUGCAAGCUUUAUUCGUUAAAUCUUGUUGUUUUAGCAUUUAUCACAGUUAUCCAGCUUGGAACAUGUUCUGAUCAUCUUUUACCUUGUUUUUCUUAUCAAUCUAUUGUCACACAGCCGAUUAGAUCUAUUUCGAGUGUUGUUUGUAUAGUACUGUUUAGGUUGUGUUUUACGCUUCCUUUGCAUCUACUACGUCCACAUCAGCUGAUCUAGCCGAUUAUCUUUUGCCCGUAUCGGCUGUCCUGCCAACACGUCCUAUGAAGCGAUUCAGAACACCAGCCGAUUCACUCUUGUAUUUGACGUUUUACUUGUCCUUAUCAAUAAGCAGGUUAGAUUGACUGACACGCCGCAGAUCGAGAGGGCUACAACCUGAACAGGAGCGAAGCAGAUUCUUCCGGGUUUCGUGUGUUAGUACGCAGGAGUCAACCAUCCAAUUUUUGUGUCAACACACUUUUGGCACACCCAUUGGGACCAUACAAAGCCUCAACAUGUCUGUGCCAAAUACUGUCAAAGUUUCGGACGACAACAUCAUCAAGGUUACUGAGGAUGAGCUCCAGAACGAUCAGAAGGGCGAAGUGGCAAGGGCUGUGGAAGAGUUCAGAUUGGUGUGCCUGAAGUCCUUCAGCCAUACUAGGAAAGGUGAACCUGUCAAGAAGCACGCCCUUCCAACUCCUCGCCAGAUCACCUUUGCUGAAAACCCAGGGAGGAUGCAGGAAAUGAUCGAUCAGGCUCUUAAUCACACGCUGAUCAACCAAGCUACAGUAAUGACCAACACCGUGCACAACGUCAUCCUCAGCACUCUCUAUGGUGGAAACUCUUAGGGGUUUCACGGUCUAGCAUACGAGCCACCUAGGAGCGUACCGGUCGAAAGUGUGGUGACUGCGCCUGCUGUGUAUCAAUCGGCUUCUCAGUCGAUCCAGAUGUCAAGUGGGGGUUACGGUGCGGCAUUGCUUUAGAACACGAACAUUGUGCCACCCUCGCUUACUCAGAUGGCAAACCAACCUGCUCUAGCAUACUCCGUGCCAUCGCUGUUGCUAGCAUCGGUGCCAUGGGGGGCAACAGGGACGCCAGUCGGAUGGAAUCCGACCGCUGGAUACGGGAUGCUUCCAGGAUCAUUUGUUCCAGCCAUGACGUCUCCAGUACAAUCACCAUCACCAUCGGCUCCUCAGCCGACAGUCCAGCAUUAUCAGCAAAAUCCACCAGAAGUCAGCAGGGAGGCAGAUGUUCCGGAUCUUCACAGAGAUGGUUCUCCAAUAGUGGUGUACGAUAGGACAACCAGCAUGUUACAACACGUUGAUCCUCCUCGUCAGCAAGCGUCGGCUCUUCAACCAAUGAUCCAGCCGCAGCCAAUCGUGGUGCCACAGAUUCAACAGCAGGUACCGGUAGUCUAGCCGAUGGUCUAGCCUAUUGUCCAGCAGCAGCCACAACAGGUUGAUUGGGCCGCAAGGAUAGCUGAGGUGAUGCAAGAUCAGUUCGAGCUAAAACCUAAACUGCAGACCUACAUGUACAGGACGCCGUACCCGCCGGCCUAUGAUGUGUUGCCGUUCCCUCACCGGUACAAGGUGCCCGAUUUCACCAAGUUCUCAGGCCAAGACAACACAUCUACGGUGGAGCACGCCAACAGGUUCAUCAUUCAGUGUGGGGAAGUAGCUACGCAAGAUACUCUGAGAGUUUGGCUAUUCUCAUCAUCUCUGUCCGGGUCGGCCUUCCGGUGGUUCACAACACUACCAUCUAACUCCAUGAUCACCUGGGCCGAUCUGUAAAAAUAGUUCCACAAGUACUUCUUUGCUGGGGUUCAUGAGAUGAAGUUGACAGAUCUGACCAGUCUCAGGUAGAGGAGUGAUGAGUUGGUGGCCAGCUUCAUCCAGCGAUUCAGAGAAGGCAGGAACAAGUGCUAUAGCUUGGUCUUGAGCGACAAGCAACUAGUUGAUGCGGCUUUUCUGGGGCUCCUGCCGCACAUCAAAGAAAGGUAUGUUUCGUAGGAGUUUGAGAGUCUAAGCCAGAUUGUACAUUGGCUGUCGAACCAAGACAUGCGCCUGUUCGAUCAGAGGAAGAACUUUCAGAAGAGUGUGGCAUACGUAGAGUGUUCGAACUCUGAGGAAGAGGCAGAGAUCGGCUUGGCAAAAAUGGGUUAAGACCAAAAAGUUGAUCUCAUGCCCAUACGACAAGAAGGAGCCUGAGAAAUUCAGGUUCGAUACCUCUAAGGCCGAUGAGAUCUUUGACUUGCUGCUGCAAGAAGGGCAGAUCUCUCACCAUACCAUACGAUCCCGUUGGCCAAAAAGCUUAAGAAGAUCAAGUACUGCAAAUGGCACAACGCUACGUCUCAUGACACGAAUGAGUGCAAAGUCUUUCGGCUGUAGAUCCAAUCAGCUAUUGAGCAGGGGAGACUUAAAUUCGAGGUCCCCACGAAGCCAGCAAGGCUGAUGAAGAUUGAUUAGCAUCCCUUCCCAACCAACAUGGUGGAGGUUGGCGACACGAGCGCACUGCAAAAGAAAGUGCUGACUUCAGAAUCAGCCAAGAAGAGUGGAGCUGUGGACCCUAAAGUACAAGUGUCAGCCAAUGACAUCAAAGGAAAGGGUCAGUUACAGGAGGGGGAAAACUCAAAAAGGCCUCAUCGGCUGGUCACCUCUCAAGAGUUUCUCAACAAGUUCCAAAGGCAGCAAGAACAGGCAAGGCGCAGGGAAGAGAUGAUACGCUGCCAUGAAAACCACUGGAGAUGCCCGUUCUUCAUAUACUGCUGGGAGGAGGGAAUCAAGCUACCAUUGAUUGACAACUGCCCUGAGUGCAACGGGUCAUACCAAGACAACCGUUCAUCCAAAAGGCCGUGCUUUGAUGACAGGAACCAAAAGCCGAUCAGCAGGGAUAGGUCUCACCAUGAUGACAGGUGCAUCCCAGUGCGUGAUCAGUUGGGGGGUAGGGUCAGUGUACACGAUCGGCUGGGGGGCAGGUUUAAUGUGCCCAGUAGGCUAGAGGAAAGGACCAAUGCAAGGGUCCUCAAUGAAGAGCCUCUGUGCUGCAAGCUGGAGCGGUGGCAUGCAUCACAAGACAAAGCUGUAGAACAUCCUAGAUGGUUCCCUGCAGGUUUGACUAAGUCCCAGAAGAGGAGGGUCCAACACCUGCAAUAAUGGGAGCAGCAAGAAGAGGAACAAAGGUGGUUUUGGAAAGAAAACGGGUCAAAUCCCAAGUAUGGCUCGUCAAAGACAAAGCCAAUGACAAAGAUGACAAUCCCGAAUUGGUUGCAGAUGUCAAUAUGGUCUUCAUCUUGCCGAUGGAGUUCAUGGCUCCAGCCGACCACGAAGCAAUGAAAGCAGAGCAAGAAAGAGCAAGAAAUGGCAGAGUUAGCCUUGGAGCCAAUGAUGGCUACCUUCAAAAAAUCUGAAGACAAUAAGCAUCGGCAUUUGAAGGCUCUGCUCCUCAAGGGACAGGUUGACGGGAGGCCGGUUACCAAGCUCCUAGUGGAUGGAGGUGCAGUGGUAAACAUUAUGCCGUACGCCAUGUUCCGUAAACUCAGGAAAGGAGAGGAAGACCUGAUGAAGACAGACAUGAUGCUGAAAGACUUCGAAGGAAACGUCUUGCCAGCUCGAGGGGCACUCUCUGUGUUGACCUGACAAUCAGAAGUAAGACCCUACCUACUACAUUUUUCGUUAUCAAUGGCAAAGGGUCCUACAAUAUGCUUUUGGGAUGGGAUUGGAUUCACGCCAAUUGCUGCAUUCCGUCUACGCUGCAUCCAUGUCUCGUCCAAUGGAUCAACGAUUCAGUAAAGGUUGUCACUGCUGAUUCUUCCUUCAGCAUCGCUGCAGCCGAUGCCCAGCAGUGGAGUUAUGAACAAGUGAGCUGCAUAUCUAGCAAAGUCUAAGAUACAGAGUUCUUGAAGGUAUCCGGUUUCGGACUACAGCAGAUCCAAGCAGUCAGCUCUGAAGAAUCAUCUUGAUGGAUGAGUUCAUCCAAGAAGAUGGAAAGCUCGGGCAUGGGUUUACAUUUGGCCGAUGAAUUAGAGAUGGUAGAUCUUGGAGAUGGUAGCAAACCAAGGCUGAUGUAUGUUAGUGCUAAAUUAGAUCCUGAAUAUAACCUUGAGUUGGUUGAGUUGUUAAAAGAAUUUAAAGAUUGUUUUACUUGGGAAUAUCAUGAAAUGCCUGGCUUAGAUUGAUCUAUUAUCAAACAUCGGUUGCCCAUAAAACCAGGAUAUCGGCCAUACCAGCAGCCUGCGCGGCGUUGUAAUCCGAAGAUAUUAUCUAAUAUUAAGGCUGAUAUUACAAGAUUAAUUGAAGCGGGGUUUAUUCGGCAAUGUCUGUAUGCUGAGUGGAUAUCUAAUGUGGUUCAUGUAUACAAGAAGAAUGGAAAGCUGCAUGUUUGUGUUGAUUUCAGGAAUCUCAAUCAAGCCACGCCGAUGGAUGGUUACCCAUUACCGACAGCUGAUGUGUUGAUAGAUGCUACUGCAGGACACAUAAUCAUUAGUUUCAUGGAUGACAAUGAUGGAUGUAACCAAGUAUUAAUGGUGGAAGAAGAUAUUUCCAAGACGACCUUCAGGUGUCCUGGGCACAUAGGCUUAUUUGAAUGGGUGGUCAUGACCUUUGGAUUGAAAAAUGCUGGGGUCACAUAUCAGCGGGCCAUGAAUUACAUCUUUCAUAAACUUAUCGGCAUCCUAGUGGAGAUUUAUAUUAAUGAUGUCGUAGUUAAAUUGAAAGGGUACCAGGAGCACUUAGCCAAUUUACGUGAGGUCUUGGAAUGCACAAGGAAACAUGGGUUGAAAAUGAACUCGAAUAAUGUGCCUUUGGCGUGUCGGCUGGACUGUUCUUGGGGUUCAUGGUCCAUGAACGUGGCAUGGAAAUUAAUUGAAAGAUCAUUGGUGCUAUUAACACGAUCGUGGCUCCGCAAAAUAAGAUUGAGUUGCAAUCAUUGAUUGGCAAGAUCAAUUUUAUCUGAAGAUUCAUAUCAAACCUGUCUGGAAGAAUUCAAUCUUUCAGCCCGUUGUUUAAACUAAAGGCCAAUCAGGAGUUUGUUUGGGGGGCAGAGCAGCAAAAGGCGUUGGAUGAUAUCAAACAAUACCUGGUGUCACCUCCUGGGUUGGUUCCUCCACAAGCUAACAAGCCGUUCAGGUUGUACCUAUCAGCCAAUGAGCGUGCUAUCGGGUCGGCUCUUGUCCAAGAAUUUGAAGGGAAGGAAUAAGUAAUCUAUUAUGUGAGCAGAAGACUCUUGGAUGCUGAGAUCAGGUAUUCUCCAGCCAAAAGGCUAUGUCUGUGCCUAUAUUUCUCCUACACUAAGCUUAGACACUAUUUAUUAUCGGCCGCAUGCGUUGUAGUAUGCAAAGAUCAUGUGGUCAAAUACAUGUUAUCAUUGCCAAUUUUAAAUGGAAGGAUUGGGACAUGGAUUCUGGCUCUGUUAGAAUUUGAUCUAAAAUAUGAAUUGACUAAAGCUGUCAAACGGCAAGUUAUGGCCAAUUUCGUUGCUCAGCAUUGUGGGCUGGAGGUUACUAUCAUUGAAGUAGCCCCAUGGACUUUAUUCUUUGAUGGGUCUUCAUGUGGGACUGGAUUGGGAAUCGGCAUAAUUCUCGCAUCGAGGGGCAAGCUAUGAGUUCUCAUUACCGAUUGAGGCUUCUUCUACCAACAAUCAAGCUGAGUAUCGAGCCAUUUUGAAGGGCAUCCAAUUGUUGAGAGAAAUCAAAGCUGAUGCCGUUGAGAUAUUUGGAGACUCUAUGCUUAUUAUCAAUCAGCUGACUGGAGUUUAUGAAUGCAGAGAUGAUAUCUUGAGAAUUUACUAUAAGCAGUGCCUUCAGUUACUUAAAGAGUUCAAGAGCGUGAUUAUUGAGCAUAUUCCUAGAGAUUACAAUGAGGAUGGUAACAAACUCGCUCAGCAUGUCUCUGGUUAUCGGCCGAUUUGUAGUGCUAUGGCCUUGGAGUUGAUGGCUAAUGACUGGAGGAAAGAAAUAGCUGGUUACUUAAAGGAUCCUUCCAAGAAAAUUCAUAGGCGAGUUCAAUUUCAGGCUUUGAAAUAUGUAUUGCUUGAAGAUGACCUUUAUUAUCGGACGGUUGAUGGGGUCCUGCUUAAAUGCCUCGGCGUUGAAGAAGCGAAGAAUCUGAUGGGCGAAAUCCAUGAAGGGGUUUGUGGAGCUCAUCAAUCAGCUUUUAUGAUGAAAUGGAUGAUUAGAAAUAAUGGGUACUAUUGGCCAACAAUACUUGAAGAUUGCUUCAAAUACUAUAAGGGUUGUUACGAUUGUCAGAGGUUUGGCAAUGUGCAAAGAGCCCCGGCAUCGGCUAUGAAUCCUAUAAUAAAGCCGUGGCCAUUUAGGGGUUGGGGUAUUGAUUUGAUCGGCCAAAUUUAUCCACCUUCAAGUAAGGGUCAUAAGUUCAUAUUGGUAGCAACGAAUUAUUUUACUAAGUGGGUCGAAGCAAUUCCCUUGAAGAAUGUGACAUCGGCAAGCAUGGUUGAUUUUGUUAAAGAGCACAUCAUCUAUCAAUUUGGUAUUCCUCAAACUAUCAUGACCGAUCAAGGGAUGAUGUUCACCUCAGGGGAGUUCGAAGAAUUUGCUACUAAUAUGGGAAUUAAAUUGUUGAAUUCUUCUCCGUAUUAUGCCCAAGCAAAUGACCAAGCUGAAUCAUCUAACAAGGGGAUCAUUAAACUAAUUAAGAGAAAAAUUGAAGAGCAGCUGAGGCGUUGGUAUACUAUGUUGAACGAGUCCAUAUGGGCAUAUCGGAUGGCUUGUCACGGAGCCACAAAAGUAUCCCCUUAUCAGUUGGUUUAUGGGUAUGAAGCAGUGCUACGUUGGGAGUUAAAGACUGGGUCUAGGCGUGUGUCGUUGCAAGAUCAGUUAACAACCGAGGAAUACUCUGCGUUGAUGAAAGGAGAGUUGGAAGACUUAGCGGGUCAUCCGCUAAGGGCUUUGAUCAGUAUCGAAGAAAAUAAGAAAAGGGUGGCUAGAUGGUACGACAAAAAGGUCAAGGUCAAAGAGUUUUCCCAAGAAGAUCUGGUCUGGAAACUGGUGUUGCCAAUUGGAUCUAAAGAUCCUAAAUUUGGAAAAUGGUUGCCUACGUGGGAGGGACCAUAUUGGAUAAACCGGUGUGCUCUAGGCAAUGCGUAUAUUUUGGAGACACUUGAAGGAGAAGAGUUCACAAGGGCUCUAAAUGGAAAAUACUUAAAGAAAUACUACCCUAGUAUAUGGGUAGAUGCAUAGCCGACGGCGCAAUGCUUCGGGUUGAUAUAGCCGAUACUGAGGAUAUUGCCUUUAGCCCAAAAGGAAGGAAGGAAAAAAGGCAGACAUAUGGAUAGCCGAUGAAAUAUGAGCUGAUCGCGAUUCGGUACAUCGGCUGUGAUAUGGCCGACGCAAUACAAGUCACCCUUAGAACAAAUAAUACUUGCAACAUUUGGGAUACAGAAGGUUAUUACAUCGAAGUCAUUGUCAUAUCAUGGCCAAGAUAUUUUAUCGCAGGCAAAUCUGGCUGGCUCUAUAUUGGUAUCGGCAAAUACCUACUCCCUUUGGCGAGAUAUGCUUGGGAGGCUCCCUAGUUGGGUCUCAGUAGUGACGAUCUCCCUGUCGACUCGGACCAGUUCCAGUAGAAGUUGGAUCCUCCUUGCUUCCAAACUAGUUAACUUGUCUUCAAGCAAUACACGAGGGGGAGGUUAAUGGCUUCGAAGGGUUGGCUGCUGCGCUUGCUAGCUUGAGCCUGCAGCUUCGAUUGAGGACAAGAUCGAUUUGACAUCCGCAGGAAGAUGAUCUCUGAUUCGGUCACGAUGAGCUUGGAUCAAGGCUUUGUCUAUUUAGGUGAGAGGCUCAUUGGAAUGGAGGAUCUGGAUGACUCAUUCAAGCUGUUCGUCCACUUGAUUUGGCUAAAAAGGGGGGAACGAAGAGUCGAAGAUUGGUUCACAAUAACCAAUUUGAAAUUGAGAAACCAUAACGAUACCUGAUUGACCGAUGAAGAAGAUGACAUCUUGGACAUGAGAGUUUCGGUUCGAAUCAAGUGCUUACAGAGACGAAGGCAUGUGUAGUUGUGCAAAUGCGUCUAAGGGGAACAAUUGCUGCUCAUAUUUAUAGAAUGACAUUGAAGGAUUUGGACGUUAAGCAAUAGUCGGCCAGAAGAGGCGUAUUGAAUAAAAUAGCUGUUGGCGAGUCAGAGAAAGCUGCGAAGAAUUAGCCAAUUCACAUUCAAGGCAGACAGUGAAUGAUGACAUCACAAAAGAAAGAUACAUGGAGCCCAAUAAUGUUCCAUUACAACUAUCCUAGAAGGGUUUGGAUAGCAUUUAUCGCACCCAAGCGAAUCUGAUCGGUUGCCUCUAUUACUCUAUGGUCAUCAUCGGCUGAGCGGGGGAUGUCUGGUAUGCUUCGAUGAAGCUGAAUAGCUUGACGAGCAUGGGUUUGCUUGUCUUGCUCUAACUGCUUGAGGACGCUUGGGAGCUGAGCAAGCUUGCUUUCCUUUGUACCAAUGGCGUCGCUGAUGAUCUUCAUUUCCUUGGCGAGUUCUGCCCACCGAGCUUUAAGUCGAUCUAUUUCGCUGACGAUGUUCGGCCGAGAAUUGCUGAGGAAGCUGAUCCUGUGAUGAAGUUCAUCGGCACGGAGCCUGUGGGAUUCUUUCUCUUGGUGCAACUACUGCCACUUGGCGUGAUCGGCUAUGCGUUGUAAAGCCCUUGACACCGGAAUCUGCAUGCUCUCUAUGUAUGCUGUAGAAAAUAGAGCUUCACUUACUCAGGAUCAAGAAGCAUUUCUGACGCGAAGGUGAGUGGCACAGAGAUUACAACAUUCCCAUCACAGUAAAAUAGUUCAACACUUUAUUACAUCAGAGUUUUCAAAAUCCAAACAAAGUUUGCAAGGUUGUAAACAACGAAGAAGUAAAACAGUGGAAGCUACACAACGAUAUAUAAUACCAUGGCGAAGCCGACCAUGAUAUCCAUUUCAAUGAUCCACGCUGUCUGAGGCUGGUUUCCACUUGAUCGACCAACCUGGAGGGAGUUGGGUCGACCAAGUCAAGCUGGCAACCAUUUCCUCGUACUCAGCACUACCUAAAAACAUAGCCACAAGCAAGGCUGAGCAACUAGUACUCAGCAAGACUAACCCGAUAGGUGAUAACUACUUCACCGACUCCUAGUUAUGCAAUGCUUUUUGGCUGUGGGUUUGUUUUUGCCAAAAGCGCCUAGAGUUGAUCCUUACUUUCAAUAUUUUAGCUCAAGUUCUAAGUUCAUUAACCAGUCUAAAUUAGCAACUUAUACUAAGCAAGCAUUGUUUCCAGACAAUUAAAGAUCAAGCAUCAAGAUUAAUAUCAUCAUGUUCCAUCUUUACUCAAUACAGAAUAGCGAUCAAGCAAUCCCAAACUAUGAGAGGCAAACGAAUUGAUUCGAAUUUAUUAACCAUGCAUGGCGAACCUAAUCUCACGACAUUCGUGCACCAUGAGGGUCGCUUCACUUGUCAGCCGUCCCCAUCGAUUCCUUAGGCACGUGUUAGGUCCAAACUUCCUUUGGCAUGCAAUGCUCCAUAGUCCCGGCCUCUUGCCGUACUGUGACCGCACUUGUACCCACAUGAUGCACCUUGGGAACGACGUUCCAAGGACAGCAGGAAUAUAAGCCAUGCCCCAGUUCAAUCAGGUACUAGGCUUCCCUAUCCCAUACUAGGUCUGAGAUUAGUACUUUCAAACACUUAAUCACGAACGCCGACACGUUUCGACCUUAGCAAGUUCAUUACUAGAAAGACGGGGCAAACCACCACAUCGGAACCAUUUCCGGUCCCAUCCAUCAUCCUUAUAGUUGUAGUAUCAAUAAACAAACAACUCCUAUAACUCGCGAGUGACAGGCAAUCACUCGACUUUUACCGAGUCCUAUUUAGCAUAGCAACUACUUGACCUUAGCAACUAGUGUUCAGAUUCAAAUGUACUAAGUUCAUGCAUCUAUGGUUUCAAUCAACUCCUACAAACGUAAAUGCACAAUCAUAAGUAUCAACAUAUUGCAUAAAUUUAAAUUAGGGAAGCAUGCACCGGUGAUAUGGCAGGGGCUGUUCCCAAUCUUUCGAUGAGAGGAGGGGUAACUUCGAUUUGGGGGUGGAAUCAACAUUGGCUGUCCGACUACAACAAUCACAGGAUGCUGCGCCUUAGCAACAGGUACACCGAUUCCGACGUUGGCUGUUCUUGCCGGGCCAAGAACACCCUUGAACCUGCUAGCAAUCGAGAACAAGCAAGAACAAGAUGAACAAGCAAAUAAACCCACGGAUCUGAAACAAAUGAAACCUGAAUCACGAGUUGGGGUCUUGAAUCAAGCAAAUCGGGUGGUCUAGUCGACACACGCGUUCACUAGGAAGUAGCAGUAGCUAACUUGCAUCUAAAACAAAACCCAAGUUCAUCCUGGUGGCUGCUAGAUGUAUUUAUACAUGGGCAACAGCAAGGAGGCGUGGGAGGGUGUAAACCCUAAGCUGGAAAGGGCCCCUAGUGGGCUGCACGAGAUAUAAGGGUUUCAGCCCAAGACUGGAAGGCUGAACGUCUCUUUGUCAAUUCUGCUCAGCUCCGGUGGAAUUUCGUCAUGAGGUUGGAUCCAUCUGAAAGUGAACUUUAAGAUCUUUCCAAUGAGUACUCAUAUGCCUCAAACAACAUCCGGAGUUGAGAAAUAUUGCCACGUCAAUUUGAUGUUCCCUGGCUGUACGAACUUGAAGUCUAAACUUGAUGUCCGAUCUUGUGCUUUCUUAUUGUGUGAUCUUGAUGCCCAAACUGAUUGGUUGAUCCAUUAGGCUCCUCUCCAUCAUUCCUAAUAAUAAUAAAAUCAUCACAAUGACUUAGUAGCAUCCAAUUCUGAGAUGAGAGUUUAUGGACAGCGAGGAAUGAGUUAACUUGAUAAUUUAGCUCUCGUGCACGGGCUCUUGUCAUUGGUCCUUGCUGCAUAGUAGGUGUGGUUGUAUCAUUGGAAGGGAUGUCCUCAUCAUCCUCCCCUUCUUGCAUGUGAGUCGUCCUCGACUCAAGUUCAUCUUCCUCGCCCAAAUAUGGUUUCAAAUCUGCAAUGUUAAAUGUGGGGCUGACCCCAAAAUCUGCAGGCAACUCAAGUUUGUAGGCAUUAUCAUUGAUCUUAGCUACAACUUUAAAAGGACCAGCAGCUCUCGGAAGCAACUUUGACUUUCUCAAAUCAGGAAACCGAUCCUUUCUCAAGUGCAGCCAAACCAAAUCACCCGGUUCGAAAGUAACAUGCUUCUUUCCUAAGCUACCAGCAAGUUUAUAUUUAGCAUUCAUGUUCUCUAUGUUCUCUUUUGUGGUCUCAUGUAUUUUUAACAUCAACUCAGCACGUUGUUUAGCAUCAAAAUUCAAUCUCUCAGAAGUUGGUAAAGGCAGCAAUCAAUAGGGGCACGAGGCACAAAACCAUAAACAAUCUCAAAAGGGCUCUUUUUAGUAGUAGAGUGUUGUGAACGAUUGUAAGCAAACUCAACAUGAGGCAAACAUUCUUCCCACAAUUUUAUGUUCUUUUUCAAAACUGCCCUAAGCAUGGUAGAUAAAGUUCUAUUCACAACCUCGGUUUGUCCAUCAGUUUGGAGAUGACAAGUAGUGGAAAAAAGCAACUUAGUACCCAAUUUAGCCCACAAAGUUCUCCAAAAAUGACUAAGAAAUUUUGCAUCACGAUCUGAAACAAUUGUGUUUGGUAUACCAUGCAAACGAACAAUCUCACGAAAGAACAAUUCAGCAACAUGAGUAGCGUCAUCGGUCUUAUGACAUGGUAUAAAAUGUGCCAUCUUAGAAAAUCUAUCCACAACCACAAAGACACUAUCCCUCCCCUUCUUUGUUCUAGGCAGUCCUAAAACGAAAUCCAUAGAAAUAUCCUCCCAUGGUGCAUUAGGAACAGUUAGAGGCAUGUACAAUCCAUGAGCAUUAAGGCGUGACUUAGCUUUUUGGCAUGUUGCGCAGCGAGCAAUGAAUCUCUCCACAUCCCUCCUCAUCUUGGGCCAAAAGAAAUGAUCAGCAAGGAUGCUUUCCGUCUUCUUUGCACCAAAGUGUCCCAUCAGCCCUCCUCCAUGCGCCUCCUGCAAUAAUAACAUACGCACGGAGCUAGCUGGAAUGCAUAGCUUGUUAGCUCGAAAUACAAAUCCGUCAUUGAGGACGAAUUUGUUCCAUGUCUUUCCCUCCUUGCAAUUCAGCAACACAUCUUUAAAAUCACCAUCAUGGGCAUAUCGCUCUUUUAUUGUUUCCAAGCCAAAAAUUUUGAAAUCAAGUUGUGAAAGCAUGGUAUAACGUCUAGACAAAGCAUCAGCAAUUACAUUUUCCUUCCCUUUCUUGUGUUUGAUGACAUAAGGAAAGGACUCAAUGAAUUCAACCCAGCGAGCAUGCCUACGGUUCAGUUUUGCUUGACUUCAAAUAUGCUUCAAUGAUUCAUGAUCAGAAUGUAUAACAAACUCUUUGGGCCAUAAAUAAUGCUGCCAUGUUUCUAAAGUCCGAACUAGAACAAGCAAUUCUUUAUCAUAAGUAGAAUAGUUCAAACUAGGCCCACUCAACUUCUCGCUGAAAUAUGCUACAGGUUUUCCUUCUUGUAACAAAACACCUCCCAAACCAAUUCCACUAGCAUCACAUUCAAGUUCAAAAGUUUUAGUGAAAUCAGGGAGUUGGAGUAAAGGGGCAUGGGUUAACUUAUCUUUCAAUGUGUCAAAAGCACUCUUGUGUGCUGCAGCCCAAGUGAAUGUAACGCCCUUCUUGGUGAGUUCGUGCAAUGGGGCUGCAAUGGUGCUGAAAUCCCUCACAAAACGGCGAUAAAAUCCAGCAAGCCCGAGAAAGCUUCUCACUUGUGUGACCGUUGUGGGAACCGGCCAGCUAUGUAUUGCUUCAACCUUGGCUUGAUCAACUUCAAUUCCCUGUGGGGUCACAACAUAGCCAAGAAAAGAGACUCGAUCCGUGCAAAAGGUGCACUUCUCAAGGUUACCAAACAAACGUGCAUCACGUAGAGCAUUAAAAACAUCACGCAAAUGAUCAAGAUGUUCCUCAAGUGAUCUGUUGUAUAUCAAGAUGUCAUCAAAAUAUACCACAACAAAUCUACCAAUGAAAGCGCGUAAAACUUCAUUCAUUAGUCUCAUGAAAGUGCUGGGUGCAUUAGUGAGACCAAAAGGCAUAACUAACCACUCGUAUAGACCGAAUUUAGUUUUAAACGCUGUUUUCCAUUCAUCUCCUAGCUUCAUGCGAAUCUGGUGGUAACCACUACGCAAAUCAAUUUUUGAGAACACAAUGGAGCCACUUAAUUCAUCAAGCAUAUCAUCUAGCCUAGGAAUAGGAUGACGAUAUCUGAUUGUAAUGUUAUUAAUCGCUCGGCAAUCUACACACAUGCGCCAUGAUCCAUCUUUCUUAGUAACCAAAAGAACAGGAACAGUGCAAGGGCUAAGAGACUCACGCACAUAACCUUUAUCGAGCAAUUCUUGCACUUGGCGCUGAAUCUCUUUAGUUUCCUCGGGGUUGGUCCUGUAUGGCGCACGGUUGGGCAAUGAGGCUCCAGGAAUAAGGUCAAUCUGGUGCUCAAUCCCACGGGUUGGUGGCAGCCCUGGUGGCACCUCAUUUGGAAAAAUGUCCGCAUACUCCUGCAAAAGGUUAGUAACUGCAAGAGGCAAAGAAGAAGGUAUCUCCUGAAGUGAAAACAAAGUUUGUUUGCAAAUCAAAGCAUAGCAAACAGCAGUAUUAGCAUCAAUCUCAUCCAAAUCAGAUUUGGUUGCAAUGAAACAUGACCCUUUCAGCUUGAUCUCAUUUUUAUUAUUGUGGGCAGAUUUAGUGUUCUUCUUUGUGUGCUUUUUAAGUUCAUGUGCUACAAUCUGAUUUUCACUCUUAGCAUGCUCCUGAUUCAUUAAUUUACUAGCUCUAGCAAGUUCAUCUUUCAAAAUAGCUUCAGGAGACAUUGGAUGCAAAAUAAGUUUCUUGUCAUUAUGCAUAAAAGAGUAUUGAUUUGUUUUACCAUGAUGCAAAGAAUCAAUGUCAAAUUGCCAUGGUCGUCCUAACAACAUAGAGCAUGCUUGCAUGGGCACGACAUCGCAGUCAAUAGAAUCAUGAUAAGAACCAAUAGCAAAAUUAACUCUCACCAACCGUGUUACCUUCACCUUACCGCUGCUGUUUAGCCAUUAAAUGUAGUAAGGUUGUGGAUGUGGCUGGGUGCACAAUGCAAGCUUCUCCACCAUUUCAGCACUUGCCAAGUUGUUGCAGCUCCCUCCAUCAAUGAUGACUCGGCAAGAACGCUCCUUGAUCACACACUUGGUUUGAAACAAAGUGUGGCGCUGAUUUUGUUCAGCCUUCUCCAUUUGUGCACUCAACACUCGCUGCACCACAAGGCUCUCAUAGUUUUCAGCAUGUUCCGUUCCAAUGUGCUCCUCAUUUUUGUUGUGCUCCUCAUCUUCCCCUACAUUGUUAGCUGCAAGCAAAGCAUAUGUUUCUUCAUCUAAAUCACUAGCAGAGGAAUACUCACCAUUAGGACGCACAACUAGCACGCGUGCACUUGGGCAGUCCUUGCGCACAUGACCGUAACCUUUGCAGCGGAGGCAUUGAAUGUCUCUCAUUCGCCCUGAGGAUGCAAUUGAGGAUGAACUCUUGGUUGGUGCAGCAGCUGCCCCCUUUGUGGGUUCAGGAGGGCAUGGUGAGGAGUUCGUUGUCAAAGGUCGUGGUUUGCUGCUUGAUGAAGAUGGGGCAGCGACUCGGUACAGUUGGGCAGUGGGGUUGGAUGGUGUCCAAGAGGUAGCACGACCUGCAGAAAUGUUAGUUCUCGUGCUAGCACUCCGUCCCUGUACUUCCCUUUCAGCUUUACAAGCAAGAUGAAACAAACGGGUGAUCGAAUUGUAUUCUUUGUAAGCCAAAAUAUCCUGAAUUUCCCGAUUCAGCCCACCCAUAAACCUAGCCAUAGCUGCAUCCUCAUUUUCUACCAAACCACAAUGAAGCAUCCCUGUUUGCAACUCUUGAUAGUACUCUUCUACAGAUUUGUUUCCCUAUCUCAAAAGCUGAAGCUUAUGCAAAAGAUCACAUGCAUGAUAAGAGGGAACAAAUCUAGCUCGCAUAACUCUUUUCAUAGCAUCCCAAGUUUGUGGAGUGUUGUUUGGGUGGCUGCGCACAUAUUCGCUCCACCAAAUAGAAGCAAAAUCAGUAAACUCACUAGUAGCAGCCCUAAUACGUUUGUUUUCAGGAAAAUCAUGACAUGCAAAUUUUUGAUCAACAGCUAGCUCCCAAGUGAGAUAUGCAUUGGGGUCAUAUUUUCCAUCAAAAGAGGGCAUGCUGAAUUUAAUCUUCCCUAAAGAAUCAUCAUUGUCGCGUACCUCACGUCGUGGUUGACGAGCAUGUCCACCAUGUCGACGGCGGCGCUGCUGCUGGUUAUGUUGGCCAUUUACCUCCCCAUCAAGCUCUGUGUCAGCUGAAUAUUCUUCCUCAUCUUGCCCAGCAAUGCUACCCUCAGUGUUGUUGUUGUUGCGCCGUCCCGAACCAUCACGACCCUCCUGGUCCAUCCUAUCCAAACGUGCCAAAAUACCUACAAGAGAGGUGUUAAGAGCCCCAAGCGUGUUCGCCAUUGAGGUCAGCUUGGUGUUGGUGUCGAUCUGCGUGGCCUCCAAUUGGCCAAGGCGUUCGUUGGUAACUCGAACAUCCUCAUCAAGGUGUUCAGCAUGCACCCUUACUUGGCGUUCAAAGUGUUGAAUGAUGCCCCUUGUUCGAGGUGAAUGAACUUGUCCAUCAUCCUCAUUUCCUGCCAUGGUUAGACAAGGGAAAAAAUGUCCUACCAACUAGUGGAACUAGGUGACAGCAAACUCCAUGCUCUCAAUCUUGUUCCAUCAAGUUCUUACAUGUUCUUACCAUGCUAGGAAGUUGGUGUUGGCAGCCGGCAAGAACAGCACAAAAUGUUACACAAGCACAACCCUGUGACGUAGUAGAUAAUUUGUGGAGCUAUAGGUGGCUGCAAGAAAAAAAAAUCAAGGAACAGCUAGAACCACGUUAGCCAAAGCAAGUUGAAUAAAUGUUCACAAUGGUACUGUGCUGGUCCUAGGCUAAACCAUAUUAGAGACGUGAGCCUAGACACAAACGUAGUCACCCAACAGCGGCAAACAAGGCAUACAAAGAGAGUAAUGCAGCAACAAGAACUCUUUUUCUUCCUUUCUUCUUUUCCUUCUUGUUUCUUCCUCUUUUUUUUCUUUUUUUUCUUUCUUUCUUUUUUUUUCUUUUCUUUUCAGGGGCCUCAAAUGUUAUGUUUGGCACAAUGAAACAAAACAAUUACUUCACAUAGCCCUCCUUGCUUUUAGAUGCACAGAUUACACAGCAGAUAUGCGGAAAUCUCCAUAGCGUUUGCAAGGCGCUCAGAAAGAAUUUGGCGGCAAGGUUAAUUUUCCCUGAAAGAGCACAAAGUAACCUUUCCAGAAUGUAUCUAAACACUUGAAUCGGAGAUUGGAUGCAAGAAAUAGAGCUGAUUUCUUCUCGUGCAGAUCUGGAAGUGGGGAUUGCGAAAAUAGUGGGCAAAUGCAGCAGCGUGAAAAGGUGGGGGGAAAGUGGCAGCGAAUCUAAUGGUGAUAAAAACGUGACAAGAACUCAAAACUCUAAUGGAUUAGAACUUAAGAACCAGCACUUGACACCAUGAUGCAACCACAAACUCAACAAGCCAAGAACUAGGUAGAACAGCAAGGGCUCCAACUAGUUUUCUUUUUGGGAUUUCAGAUCUAGCCUAUCUAUCUUUUUGGGUAUUUUUGGACUGUAGGUAAAGUAAAGAAUGGGUAGUUACUCUCACCGAUUAACCUUGCUCUGAUUACCACAUGAUAUGGCAGGGGCUGUUCCCAAUCUUUCGGUGAGAGGAGGGGUAACUUCGAUUUGGGGGUGGAAUCAACAUUGGCUGUCUGACUACAACAAUCACAGGAUGCUGCGCCUUAGCAACAGGUACACCGAUUCCGACGUUGGCUGUUCUUGCCGGGCCAAGAACACCCUUGAACCUGCUAGCAAUCGAGAACAAGCAAGAACAAGAUGAACAAGCAAAUAAACCCACGGAUCUGAAACAAAUGAAACCUGAAUCACGAGUUGGGGUCUUGAAUCAAGCAAAUCGGGUGGUCUAGUCGACACACGCGUUCACUAGGAAGUAGCAGUAGCUAACUUGCAUCUAAAACAAAACCCAAGUUCAUCCUGGUGGCUGCUAGAUGUAUUUAUACAUGGGCAACAGCAAGGAGGCGUGGGAGGGUGUAAACCCUAAGCUGGAAAGGGCCCCUAGUGGGCUGCACGAGAUAUAAGGGUUUCAGCCCAAGACUGGAAGGCCGAACGUCUCUUUGUCAAUUCUGCUCAGCUCCGGUGGAAUUUCGUCAUGAGGUUGGAUCCAUCUGAAAGUGAACUUUAAGAUCUUUCCAAUGAGUACUCAUAUGCCUCAAACAACAUCCGGAGUUGAGAAAUAUUGCCACGUCAAUUUGAUGUUCCCUGGCUGUACGAACUUGAAGUCUAAACUUGAUGUCCGAUCUUGUGCUUUCUUAUUGUGUGAUCUUGAUGCCCAAACUGAUUGGUUGAUCCAUUAGGCUCCUCUCCAUCAUUCCUAAUAAUAAUAAAAUCAUCACAAUGACUUAGUAGCAUCCAAUUCUGAGAUGAGGGUUUAUGGACAGCGAGGAAUGAGUUAACCUGAUAAUUUAGCUCUCGUGCACGGGCUCUUGUCAUUGGUCCUUGCUGCAUAGUAGGUGUGGUUGUAUCAUUGGAAGGGAUGUCCUCAUCAACCGGGGCUUGCUUUCAGGUUCAGGAAAAGUUAGUGGGUCCUCGGGGUCUUGAUCUAGCUUGGGCUCAACUUCCGCGUGAUGUAGCUCUGCAGUAGGUUCCUGUUCCAGCGUAGGGUGGAGCUUGUAUUUUAUUACCAAGGGUAGCAUGCACUUAACCAUUUUCUCAAAACCUAUAGUGAUUCUGAGGGUGAAACUUUAACAGUGGGUUGAAGGCGUGUUACAGAGACUUUGGUGAAUUUUUCAUGAUUUUUAUAGAAGGACAUCUAUUUCCCAUAUUUUACUCCUAUUUAUCUUGUUCUAAACAAAAAGGUGGGUUUCAUCAAGAUUCAGUCAAGGUUUCAUAUUUUGCCUGUGAACUACACUUCAAAACUAAGCUACUCCAAGUGGUUUCAUAUUUUUCUUAGCUCUGGAUUAAAACUUAUGCAAAAAGAAAGAUUUAACUCCAGAUCUCAAAUAUAAAGCUAAAACAGUGAGUUAAAGUUCUACUCCAGGGUCUUCACUAUUUUUCCAAGCUUCCAUACUCAGAAACAUACACAAAGUUGGAUUUACCUUUUUAGCAUUUUUCUUCGAUUUACUAUGAUUUAAAAGGCCUAAGUAAGAAAUAAAACUAUAGGGUAUUAUUUCCAAUAGUAAUACAGGCAAGAUUAUUAUAAGAAACUAGACAGUUCACUGAGUCCAACAAAAGUGGUUUGGCAUUUUAAUGAUUUUUCUACGAUUUAUGGUGCAUUUACAAAGUUUAAACUAAUUUCCGUCGAUUUAAAACAAAAUAAUCAAAACAAACUUACAACCUAACCCUCGCGUCUACGGUUUAAUCGCACAGGGGUCCCUAGUUCUUGCUCUAAGGCCCCUGGAAAAAGAUAAAAGACACAGGGAGGCCCCUGGCGGCUGCCGGCGGCGAUCUUCGCUCGAUUCCAGCGAUGCGUGGCUCGGGCUAGGGCAAGAAGCUACCGGGGAGAAGCGCGUGCUCACCUAGGGUCGAUUGGCAGCAGUUAGGGCGUCGGAGAGGGCUUGGUGAAGGCGGAACACCGUGGGGACGAGGAGCGGGCCGCGGCGGUGGUCCUCGAGGUGUUCCGGCACCGGUAGCGCUAGGGGAGGGUAACGGGCAGCUCGGGGACGUGCACGGUGGGGCGGCGGAGCGAGCGGUGGUGUUAGCGAGGCGCGGGGUGGCGCGGAGGUUGGGGCUCCAUGGGAGACCCAAGCGGCGGUGCAAGAACAGGGGAGCGGUGGCGUUAGAUGUGGCGGAGGGCGGCGUAGGAUCAACUGGACUGAAGACAAUGACGAAUGGGGGUAGGAAAGCCCUAGGCCGAUCGGCCUGGGCACCUGUGAGCCGAUCAGCUUAGGGGGUUCUUGUCUCCACGGUGCUCCGCUUCGCAUGGCCUCAUGUAGAUCAAAUCUUCUCUCCAUUUUCUGAUCUUGUGACGGGGGUGGAUGGUGUUUGUGUGGUGUUUGCUCCUCUCUCUCCAACUCUUUCUCCUUGUAGUCCAUGAGGGGCUAUUUAUAGUUUUUCGUAGGUGGUGGCUCUGGGUUAAUGUCGGUGGAAAAACCCUAGAGAUGUUGUGGAUGGUACGCUGAAGAAACGGGAGCUUGACCGGGCCUAAGAUUGGGCUGGGUUGGUCGGCCUGGGCCCUUUCUGGCCCUCCUGGUCCUCUCCUUCCUCGUUCAGGUUUCCCUCAAUGACCUAUGUCCAAAUACCUAUUAAGCUCAUUAUGUAAACCCCCUUGAUUAUGUCAUAUUUCCUGUCUAAAUAUAAUAUGCUCCAAAAUACAACACAUAUAAAAUAAUGGGAUUAUUUCAAGUGCCAAGUGGUGGGUUAGUAUAAGAAUAUGCAUGAAAAUACUAGUUAAAUAGCACUAAAAGUGUCUCAAUAACGAGCGUCAACAGUGCCGCUGCGCAGACCCGCAGUAGGGCCAUCGCCACGACCCGUGCGCCGAUGCUGCCGUCUACUGCGCCGCCAAGAUCCGGUUGACUCCGACUGUCCGAGCUGCCCUGCCGACAGCCGUUGUAUUCCUAGUCACCGACGCGCUCAGCGCACACGGGACCUGGCCUUCCGCGCAUGAGAUCCGUCGUGCCUCCGGCCGCCAUGGCCACCUCGUGCCGUCCCCCACCCAGGAUGCACGGCGAAACCAGACCAGGCGAGAGACCCCGCCACCGCCAUCCUAGGGGGUUGCGUGGGCUUCCAGCUGCCCCCUCCGACGGUGGUGAGGUGACAGUAUGGGAGGGAGUGGGUGGUGGCGGCUAUGGUUUCCUAGUCGCCCCCGAGUUGCCCGAGCGGGGGAGCAACGCGGGGUCUCUUCGUUUUGUGUGUUCUCCUAUACACAAAUAUAGUGAAAUAGAUGAGACACUAAGUAUCCACUAAACUUUUUGGUAGCCACACACUCAUUUGCUCAAGCAUUAAGGUGAGAGUACACAACACAAUAGCAUGCAAUCCUUAAAGGAGAGUAAUAGCCAACCAAUGGAUUUUAUUGUGACAAUAUUUGGGCUGACAUAACCAAGGAAAAUUCCAACAGUGGAUUGUCAUCUAAAAUGCUUCGAGUCAAUCCUUUCGAUACCAAUGCAGAGUGCAGUGCCGUUAUUGUUUUAUAGCAGGUUGAUCAUAGCAUAUAAUGCACGACUCACCGGACCAGAAGUUGGUCGAAUGUAAUGAAACUUUUGCCCCCCAAGGCAUGCAGGUGUGUAAUAAGUUUCAAGUUUCGGAAAAAGAGUGUACACCCAAUUUUAAUUCGAUGAAACAUCUCCCCUUCCUCUUCAUAACUCUCUAACUAUAUGUCACAAAAUUUGCUUAUGUGAAACUCUAGUUACUAAUAAUGAAAGCCCCAUUUAAGUUUUUUUAAAAAAGAAUGAAAGCCCCAUUGGGACUGGCCGAAGAGAACCAUUCAAACAACAUGUGAUUGUUAACUGAAUUUAAUAAUACCGUUUCUUUUUAUAAAAAAAGCCUGAGUUAUUAUAGCUGUCCCAUGCUUCCACAUAUCAACUCAUAAUUUCAUUUGACAGCUCAUUAUUGAUAAUUCAAAUCUUAGUUACAACCGACGACAGACCAAUUCAUAUAUGGUGUACAAUAUAAAGACUCACUCCAUUCUAAAUCGUAGGUCAUUUUGACUUUUCUAAAUGCAUAGUUUUUACUAUGCAUCUAAACAUACACUAUAUCUAAGUGCAUAAAGUCAAAAAGACAUAGAAUUUGAAACGGAGGGAGUACAAGACUUCAUCCGGGACAUGCUUUUAUUUACUUGACCUGUAUGAAUGGUCCAUGCGAACACAUCCAUGUCCAAUUAUUUGGAGGCUUGGCGUUUAUAUUCUUUAGCCAAUUCUGGGAACCUCGGCCACGAUGUCAACCCAGAGACGAACGCGAUUUGGGUCAAAAUCUUGGGGGACGAAGGUGCCAACCGGGACAGCCUCAACAUUCAGCUCCGGCCGCUCCGCCUUGAUCUUCUCGGUCGCCGCUUUGAUCGUGCAUCCCUUUAGCUCAGGCCACUCUGUCUUGGGAGUAGCAUCGGCGCACCCCUUGCUAUCAUCUGAUGAGCUCAUCUUCUUCAGAGAUACCUGCAGAUUUUCUGCACAUUUGUUAAACAUGGGAAAGUCAGGCUGUAGAAAGUAGAAAUGAAGCAAACCAAAACUGCAGGCUUCAAUUCAGUUACUUCUUCUUCUUUUCGAAAUGCGCAUGACAAAUGAGAAGGUAGGUAAGCUAAGAAAGAACAAGAGGAGGAGAUUGAAACGGGAAAGUACUGCUCACCACAGAUGUAAGCACUUUGAACACGCUGAUGUGUGUUUAAUGGAUGAUAGAACGCAAUGCAAGUCGGGUUGUAUUUAUAGGCAAUCUUGAUUCAGCAAAACGUUUGUUCAAAGUCUUGUGUUUGCACAAGCAACCAUGAAAUUUCAAACCCUGACUGGUGAACCUUAUCCAGUUAUGGUAUGUCAUCGUCAAACCCUGACUGGUGAACCUUAUCCCAGUUAUGGUAUGUCAUCGUCAACUU